ensembl:lincRNA
UUCUUUUGCAUCUCUAGGCCAAGACCAAGGAGAAUGAGGAGGAGCUGGAGCAGCACGCUCAGUUCCUGUUGGUGAACUUCAGCCACAUCCACAAGAGGAUAAGGAGGGUGGCAGACGAGUAUCUAUCUGGUCUGGUGGAUAAGUAAGCUCAUUUUCCUGCUAAUGGGACUGUGCUAAAGACCAUGCUGGACAUCCUGCAGACCCUGUCUCUGUCACUGAGCGCUGUGAGUAUCCCCAGGAGACCUAGGGCCCAAACACCACUUGCUCUACCACCACCCCGCUGGCCCUGUCCGCCCUGUGUUGUGGCAUGCUUCUCUGACAAUAAGCCUGAACAUAAUUAAUGCUACAGGUGUCGAGUUGGGGGUGAGGGGGCCCAAAUCCACCUGGUGUUUUGCAGUAAGUUGCAUCAAGUAUGGAGGCCUGUCACAGACAGACAGGUGGUGGGUAGGGGUGGCCCAUGUGGUUGCUAGUGGCAACUUGGGGAAGGCAGUUUGGAAGAGGGAGUCUUGCUGUGCUUGCAGGAUAUUCACAAGGAUCAGCCUUACUAUGACAUCCCCGACGCCCCCUACCGGAUCACGGUUCCUGACACGUACGAAGCCCGUGAGAGCAUUGUGAAGGACUUCGCUGCACGCUGUGCGAUGAUCCUGCAGGAGGCCAUGAAGUGGGCGCCUACCGUCACCAAGUCCCACCUGCAGGAAUAUCUGAACAAACAUCAGAACUGGGUAUCGGGACUGUCCCAGCAAACGGGGCUGGCCAUGGCCACUGAGAGCAUCCUUCACUUUGCUGGCUACAACAAGCAGAACACAACUCUCGGGGCAACUCAGCUGACCGAGCGCCCGGCCUGUGUGAAGAAGGACUACUCCAACUUCAUGGCAUCCCUGAAUUUGCGCAACCGCUACGCAGGCGAGGUGUAUGGAAUGAUUCGGUUCUCAGGCACCACAGGCCAGAUGUCUGACCUGAACAAAAUGAUGGUCCAGGAUCUACAUUCAGCUUUAGACCGCAGUCAUCCUCAGCACUACACGCAGGCCAUGUUCAAGCUGACCACAAUGCUCAUUAGCAGUAAAGGUAACUCACUGAAGCACUGUGGAAUUCUGGGCUCAUUUCUAAAUGAAUGCUGGCCUUGAUGACCCAUAGCCAGGUGGAGUACUGGCCGGAGAAAGAGCAGGAGCUCCCCCAGUAGAGGAGUAUCUCUCAUGAGUGGAAAGUCAAUAAAAGGCCAUCACUGGCCCCAGCUGGUCAACUCUUGUUGGCCCAGAUUACAGGCACCUGCCACCAUGCCCAGCUAAUUUUUGUAUUUUUAGUAGAGACAGGGUUUUAGCAUUUUUGGCCAGGAUGGUCUUGAACUCCUGACCUCAAGUGAUCCACCCACCUUGGCCUCCCAAAGUGCUGGGAUUAUAGGUGUGAGUCACUGGGCCUGGACAUUUUUCUCCAUUUCUAAGAACAGUGGGUUUCUCCUGAAAGGAGAGAAGGAAAGGGAACUGGAAAUAAUAUAUCCUGGGGCCGGGUGCGGUGGCUCACACCUGUAAUCCCAGCACUUUGGGAGGCCGAGGUGGGCAGAUCACGAGGUCAGAAGAUCGAGACCAUCCUGGCUAACACGGUGAAACCCCAUCUCUACUAAAAAUACAAAAAAUUAGCCGGGCGUGGUGGCGGAAGCCUGUAGUCCCACCUACUCGGGAGGCUGAGGCAGGAGAAUGGCGUGAACCCGGGAGGCGGAGCUUGCAGUGAGCGGAGAUCACGCCACAGCACUCCAGCCUGGGUAACACAGCAAGACUCCGUCUCAAAAAUAUAUAUAUAUAUAGAUAUAUAUA